AUUCGACGCAACGCGAAGNACCUUACCUGGGCUUGAGCUGCAGGUGACUGGCUUGGNAACAGGCCUUUCCCUCUGGGACACCUGUAGAGGUGCUGCAUGGCUGUCGUCAGCUCGUGUCGUGAGAUGUUGGGUUAAGUCCCGCAACGAGCGCAACCCUUGCCUCUAGUUGCCAUCGGGUCAAGCCGGGCACUCUAGGGGGACUGCCCCGGAAAACGGGGAGGAAGGUGGGGAUGACGUCAAGUCAUCAUGGCCUUUAUGUCCAGGGCUACACACGUGCUACAAUGGACGGCACAGAGGGCUGCGAACCCGCGAGGGGGAGCCAAUCCCAUAAAUCCGUCCUCAGUUCGGAUUGCAGUCUGCAACUCGACUGCAUGAAGUUGGAAUCGCUAGUAAUCGCGGAUCAGCACGCCGCGGUGAAUACGUUCCCGGGCCUUGUGCACACCGCCCGUCACAUCACGAAAGUCGGUUGCACUCGAAAUCGCUGAGCUAACCCGCAAGG
rnacentral:rRNA from 1 species